rnacentral:tRNA from 1 species
GCAGAGGUGGCGGAACGGCAGACGCGCACGGUUCAGGUCCGUGUGCCGGCGACGGCGUGAGGGUUCAAAUCCCUUUCUCUGCA